UCUUUGUUAGUAUAUCGGUUAGUACACGCGCUUGUCAAGAUACAUCCAUUCGCGCGAAAGCUGGGUUCGACUCCCAGACAGAGAG